rnacentral:lncRNA from 1 species
CAGAAAUGGGACCAUGUUGACGCUCCAUCCCUCACUGCCCUCAUCCACUGCACGCUGUGUCCACCAAGGAAAGGAGGAGACGGCUGCUCACCACUAUCCACCCCCCGCUUCCAGGCAGUCUCAGAAACCGAGGAGGAAACAUCACAUCUUUGGUGCUUCCCGUCCCUGGAGUGAGGGGCCUCAGGGACUUCACAGCCAGGGCUCAAGUCUGGGCACAAUGACCUCUGAGCAGAAGAGGCUCUCCCUGACCCGCCAGGUUGUUUCCGGGUUAAUGCCUGGGGAACUUGGCAAGGCGCCAUCUCUACAAAAAAUACAAAAGGUAGCCGGGCAUGGUGGCGCCUGUAGUCCCAGCUACUCGGGAGGCUGAGGCUGGAGGAUCGCUUGUGCCGGGGAGGUAGAGGCUGCAGUGAGCCGAGAUCGCGCUACUGCACUGCAGCCUGGGCGACAAAGGGAGACCCUGUUUCAAAAAAGAAAAAACUGGUGCGUCGAUGUGGUCGCCGCUUAGUCAGGCCAUGUCUUCAGCUCUGGGGGACGGGAGGUCACUGGAGGUGUGGGGCUGCCCGUCCUGGCGUCCCUCUGUGUAAGCAGCACCUGCUCCCGGAGGCACAGCCCUGGUCGGGGCCCCUCUGGAGGAGGGUUCUUGCCGGGCUCUGCUCCUCGCCGGCGGGGCAGACGUGACGGGCUCCGCACCCGGUCUGGAGAGGGCUGCGCUGGGUCGGCGCUGACGUUACUGCUUUUACUUACGACUGUAACAGCGCUACUGAACGCAGAGCACGUAUCACAAAGCUCACCCGUUCCGAGUGAGUAACUUCACCGAGAGAGGCAGGACCAUCCCCACGACGGUAGGACCUUCUCGUCACCCCAGAAAGAACCACGUGCCCACUCAACCCCCGACCCCACGCCGGGGCCCGCGGACGCAGCCGCCUCGCUCGCCCACGCACCUGCGGCAGCCGGGCCCGGCAGGGACGAGGGCUCGGCGGCGCCCCCGGGAAGAGCGCGGUCCGGGCCCUGGGUCCCCGUCCAGGAGGCGCCGCUGCCGCAGUGAGCACGUCGGGCCGGGUCUUGAGCUCGCGCCGGCCGCGCUCCCCGCGUCCCGAGCUGUGGCGGCCGCGUCCCCGGGCGGAAGGCUCACGCUCGGUGACGCCGCGCUGUCCCAGAACCUCAGCGACUUUGCAGACUCACUGGUGACCCAACGGUGCGCCCCGCCGCCGCCGGGCGGAAGUCCCGCC